UACGAGGGGGGCGAGCGUUGUUCGGAAUUAUUGGGCGUAAAGGGUGCGUAGGCGGUUUGGUAAGUCUUGUGUGAAAUCUCCAGGCUCAACUUGGAGUCUGCACGAGAAACUGCCGGGCUUGAGUAUGGGAGAGGUGAGUGGAAUUCCUGGUGUAGCGGUGAAAUGCGUAGAUAUCAGGAGGAACACCUGUGGCGAAAGCGGCUCACUGGACCAUAACUGACGCUGAUGCACGAAAGCUAGGGGGAGCAAACAGG
rnacentral:rRNA from 1 species